rnacentral:rRNA from 1 species
CUUGUCAUUAGUUGCCAUCAUUUAGUUGGGCACUCUAAUGAGACUGCCGGUGACAAACCGGAGGAAGGUGGGGAUGACGUCAAGUCCUCAUGGCCCUUAUGAGCAGGGCUUCACACGUCAUACAAUGGUCGGUACAGAGGGUUGCCAAACCGCGAGGUGGAGCUAAUCUCUUAAAGCCGAUCGUAGUCCGGAUUGGAGUCUGCAACUCGACUCCAUGAAGUCGGAAUCGCUAGUAAUCGCAGGUCAGCAUACUGCGGUGAAUACGUUCCCGGGCCUUGUACACACCGCCCGUCACACCAUGGGAGUGGAAUCCGCCAGAAGUGGGUAGGGUAACCGUAAGGAGCCCGCUUACCACGGUAGGUUUCAUGACUGGGGUGAAGUCGUAACAAGGUAGCCGUAGGGGAACCUGCGGCUGGAUCACCUCCUUUCUAGA